GCUCACUUAUCAGAUAGAGUUAUUGUUUAGUAGCUUAUAUGUGUCCCUGCGUACCAUUUUUUUCUAAUAUAGUAAGAACGACACGGAGACUGGAACAUGUCCACAGUCGCAGCUAAGGAGUUUUCUCCGGCCACCCUUGCAGCGAUGCAGUUUGCAUCUGGAGGAUGUGCAGGUUUUGUUGAAGUCUGCAUGAUGCAUCCCCUGGAUCUAAUCAAAACACGUUUCCAGAUUCAACGAGGACCAGAUGACCCAAAUCGAUAUACUUCUAUUGUUGAUUGCUUCCGCAAAAUGUACAGACAGGAAGGACCUCUGUCAUUUUACAAAGGGAUUUUGCCACCUAUUUUGGCUGAAACACCAAAACGUGCUACAAAAUUCUUCACUUUUGAGAGAUACAAGAAUUUGCUUGCAUAUGGGAAUUAUCUCUCACAACCAGUUGUGCUGACCAUAGCUGGCUUGUUUGCAGGUUUUACAGAAGCCAUUGUUGUAAACCCAUUUGAGGUUGUCAAAGUGCGUCUGCAAGCUGAGCGACAAAGUUUUACACAGCAAAAAGGUACUAUUCAGACUGCCAAGGAAAUUAUUGCUAAAGAUGGAUUUGGUCUCAAGGGGUUGAAUAAAGGUAUGACUGCGACUCUGGGAAGACAUGGUAUAUUCAACAUGGUGUAUUUCAGCUUUUAUCACAACAUAAAGGGGAUUGUUCCUGAAAUUCAGGAUCCUACUAUGGACUUCUUCCGAAGAUUUUUCAUUGGCCUUUGUGCUGGAACAUUAUCAUCAAUUGCAAAUAUACCAUUUGAUGUAGCAAAGAGUAGAAUACAGGGACCACAGCCAGUGCCAGGGGAGAUAAAAUACCGCACAUGCUUCCAGACGAUGAAAUUGAUUUACAAGGAGGAAGGGUAUGAACAGAAUUAUUAAUUUAGGUAUUUUGCACUUUACAAGGGUCUGUUGCCGAAAGUUCUUCGACUUGGUCCAGGUGGAGCUAUCAUGCUGAUUGUUUAUGAAGCAGCUUUUGACUGGAUGAAGACUAAUCUCUAGCGAACUGCAAGUGCACUGGCAGAUAAGAAAUCCAGUUGAAACUUAUUCUUGUUGAAAAAAAGCCGGGCUUAAUUGUGCGAAAGUAGUAAUCUGAUAUCAUGCAGGUUGAUUGUGACUGAAGUAUUUAGUGUAUACUAAAUCAUAAUAAUCAGUAUAUAUAUUUUACAAGUUUUACAAUCUACAAGUAACUCAAAACUUCCACCUGUCCAUAUACUACAUUGCUGGGUCAGCAAUGGCUUCUUCAGAACAAACCAGAUUCAUUAUUAAUUUACUUGUGUUAACAUGCUUCCUGUACUGAAAAUAUCUCAGGAAUUUAUAUGAUUUUGUUACAUGUUGCUGCAAUGGGAUACUUAUGAGGUAGUUUUCUGUUCAUCAUUAAAGAUGGUUGUGGUUCAUAUGCUCUGUUGAAGAGCUUGAUCCUAUAUGUGGAUUUAUAUUAUUUUAAAAUGCAUGUAUUUUGAUAUCCUUCUUGGUGUAAUAAUAAUUGAUUGAGAAAAUGUCUUAUUGAAAAAGGCUGUGGCUAUGUGAUACUCAUAAUUAAAAUUAAAUUUCAUCCAUUUUUAUUAUUCAAGGGAUAGACUAUAUCAUGAACCUAAAUACUGUAUUUGUAUCAAAAAGCCAUUUAGAUAAGAGGGUUGUCUGGGACCAGUUUCUUCAUACUUUAUGCAUUUUACCUUCACUUUCAUAGUUAAGACAAAUAUAUAGCCAGGAAAGGAUUCUUCAUAAUGGUUUUUAUAAUGCAUGUUGCUUUUACCCUUCAGAAACACCCAUAUAAAUUUUCAGUAAAAUGUGAUCUUUCAAGUAGCUCACUUGGAGUUUCCAUAGUGAGCCACAGCUAUUUUUAAAUAUGAUUAUUGUUAUUAUAUCUCUUGUAAGCAUGUAUAUUUAAAACUAUGCAUAAUCUUAAGAUUAUAAUGGCUUGAAACAGGGACAAAACUGAUUUUUAUUUAUCAACACCUGAUACAGAAAGCAGUGUGCAAUGUUCUGUUUCUCAUUUUCAGUCAAAAGUACUGAAGACUGAAUUUGAAGAAAACUUCUUUUAAAGGAUCCUAUGUCAUUCUGAGGCAUUAUAUGAAUUGCUUUACUGUAACGUGACCAGGCAUUUUGGAAGCAAAUGUGGGAUGCAUGAGAUUGUCCCGGCAUAAUCGUGACAUAUGGUCACCUUAAAUUUAAUGCAUUUAGGUAUAUCAUCUAACCAUCAUGAUUACUUACAAGCAUAAAUAGUAUAUCCUUAAUCUUACAUGGAAUUGUGCAUGCUUGAAUAUUUAAUAUAUGAAUGCUCCAGCUGGAUUGUGAUUCUGUACAGAUAAAGCACUUAUAUUUUUGGGGGGUAAUUGAAAUGUACACUUUGAUCAUAUGCAUUUUUUCUUUGAGGAACAUCUUAUAAUUUUCGUGUAAGGUGCAUGCUCACUCUGUGAAAAUUUUUAUGCAAAUAAAAAGAACGAAGUCUUUAAGUUAAGUAGAUUUUGCAGAAAUCAGUUUCUCAGAUACGUAUUUCAUUUUAAGAGUGUUUCUCUUCCUUUGCUAUGGUUAUUUUUGAUCAUGUCAUAGCAUCUUUAAUAACACUUUUAUUUUACAUUCGUUAAAAGUUUUCAUUCAGAUGUACAGUCCGAUCAACAGUCUGAUGUGUGUUUCAAAAUGGACCAUCAUACUCUCUGUGGGAGAAGAUUUUUUUUCCAAAUCAGAAAAAUAGUGUUCUGAGUUCUGGUAAUUGUGUAAUCUAUCAUUUAUAUGAUUAAAAACUGUCUUUAGGUUUUCCUGCUUUGAAGAUUUAAAAAAGCUUACAGUCAGUUAAAGAAAUCUCUGAUGGUUCUGGUUUCUGAAAGAAAUACUGCUGAUUCCUUUAUCUUGCUUGCUAAAUGUCAGACUUUUCUCUUCCAGUACAGUUCUUUGCAUGUUUGGAGUUAAACUUACUGAAUUUUUAUAUUUAACUGCUUAGUAAAGGCAAAGAACUGUACUGGAAGAGAAAAGUCAACAAGAUAACAAGAUGACCAGACUGUGCUACUGUUGUCGUGAUCUCACUCCAGCAUGCAUGUUCAAGCUACUGACAGCUUACCAUUUAUGCAUAUAUGUAAACAAAUGUCAGUAUCUUCAGUCUGUUUGUAUUGCCCUCUUCUCUGUGCUGUGCUUCAGAAAUAAGAAAUUCAGUUUCUCUUCUUUCUUUGCUCUUUUUUCUUCAAAUUGUGUCUAAAUUCAAAGCCUUCAAGUCAGUCUUAAAACCCAUCUCUUUAAGAAAUACUUGUAUAAUCAAGUGUACUAUUCUGUUCACUCAUCAGUUCAUCAUGAACUUAGUUGUUUGUCAUGGUUUCAUCUAUUUGCUGAUCAUAUUUCUUUUACAAUUGGUUCUUUUGCAGUCUGUUGAGUUUGCAUCUACACAGGGAAAUGGGCAUUGCAAAUUCUAUUAUUGUAAUUUUUAAUAUUUUGAAGAGCAUUUAUUGUAUAUGGUUAUGAAAAUUGUGUUACUACAUUUGCUCAACACAACGUGUUCUUUGGGGAACUGAUCAGGGUUAUUUUUUAUAAUAACUGAGGUUAUUUUUAAUAAUGGUGAUUUGAAACUUAAAUGUUUUUAUUUUUAAUCUUUUACCAAACAGCUACUAUUCAGUUUACUAUGGACUUUGUGGUCUCUUCUUGUUCAUUGUGUGGCAGUGUGUGAUAAAUUGUCUGAGAGAUGUAUUAGCAAUUGUAGGGUUGAUUCCAUGUCCAUACAGGGUACUGAAAAACACAUGUCCUAGCUACUGACAGAGAAAAACUGAAAUAUUAAAAAAAAAAUGAAUGUAUCCUAGCACUGGAAUGUGUAGCCAGUUUCAGGAUGUUAUAAAACAUUAGAACUACAUGAAAAACUUAUUUUGUUUAACUUUGUCAAUUAGUUUUUUAUGUAUCAAGUAAAAAAUUUACAGUAAAGUCUAUUAAAAAAAUGUGUUUUAAGAACUA